GGGCGUAAGGGCUCGUAGGUGGUUUGUCGCGUCGUCUGUGAAAUUCCGGGGCUUAACUCCGGGCGUGCAGGCGAUACGGGCAUAACUUGAGUACUGUAGGGGUAACUGGAAUUCCUGGUGUAGCGGUGAAAUGCGCAGAUAUCAGGAGGAACACCGAUGGCGAAGGCAGGUUACUGGGCAGUUACUGACGCUGAGGAGCGAAAGCAUGGGUAGCGAACAGGAUUAGAUACCCUGGUAGUCCAUGCCGUAAACGGUGGGCGCUAGGUGUGAGGGCCUUUUCACGACUUUCGUGCCGUAGCUAACGCAUUAAGCGCCCCGCCUGGGGAGUACGGCCGCAAGGCUAAAACUCAAAGGAAUUGACGGGGGCCCGCACAAGCGGCGGAGCAUGUGGAUUAAUUCGAUGCAACGCGAAGAACCUUACCUGGGCUUGACAUACACCGGAUCGGGCUAGAGGUAGUCUUUCCCUUUGUGGCUGGUGUACAGGUGGUGCAUGGUUGUCGUCAGCUCGUGUCGUGAGAUGUUGGGUUAAGUCCCGCAACGAGCGCAACCCUUGUCUUAUGUUGCCAGCAUUUGGUUGGGGACUCAUGAGAGACUGCCGGGGUCAACUCGGAGGAAGGU
rnacentral:rRNA from 1 species